CCCAUUUUAUUGAAAAUAAUGAUUUACUUGGUUGUAUUUUGAAGAAAUUUGAAUUAUUGGAAAUAAAUGGACUUUAGCGAACGGUUCACUUCAAUGACCGUUGACGUUAAGUGGUAAUUUUCCAUUAUUAAAACUAUACUAUCAGAUAACCGCAGAUCUUUCAAAUUCAAAAGAAUAAGAAGACAUUUAAAAAUCAAGUAUAAUUUCUAAGAUUGAUUUACGAUCGAAAAAUAAUAUAAUAGAGGUGUUGGCCUAGUGCCUUGUCGAGGCUAUUUUUAAAUAUUUUGUGAAGAUUUUGCAAUUCAGAUUUGAAUAUUAAAAUUAAAAUGUUCACACAAAUUUAACUACGAACACUUUUAUAUACACAAUAUUUUUACACGAGCAAGAAAGAAAAUUACAUUCAGUUUAUAAAUCGAUUUCUCGAAUUCAUCAACUAAUUAAAAAGUCUUAUUCAUAUAAAUAUAUAUACGAGUAUGACCUUCCCUCCUACUGAUGGUCGGAAUAUUUCUGUUAGAUAUUGUGUACACAUAAGCGAAAAUAAAAAUUAAUAAAAAAGAAAAAGAAACAUCAUGCAUUAUACGAACCAACAGUGCUAAAAAAUAAGGUUUGUUGAAAAAGUUUUUCAUGAUUAUA